rnacentral:tRNA from 1 species
GCGGGAAUAGCUCAGUUGGUAGAGCGCCACCUUGCCAAGGUGGAUGUCGCGGGUUCAAGUCCCGUUUCCCGCUC